UGCCCAGACUCCUACGGGAGGCAGCAGUGGGGAAUAUUGCGCAAUGGGGGCAACCCUGACGCAGCAACGCCGCGUGAUUGAAGAAGGCCUCCGGGUUGUAAAGAUCUUUAAUCAGGGACGAAAAAUGACGGUACCUGAAGAAUAAGCUCCGGCUAACUACGUGCCAGCAGCCGCGGUAAUACGUAGGGAGCAAGCGUUAUCCGGAUUUACUGGGUGUAAAGGGCGUGUAGGCGGGCCUGUAAGUCAGAAGUGAAAUCUGGGGGCUUAACCCCCAAACUGCUUUUGAAACUGCGGGUCUUGAGUGAUGGAGAGGCAGGCGGAAUUCCCAGUGUAGCGGUGAAAUGCGUAGAUAUUGGGAGGAACAUCAGUGGCGAAGGCGGCCUGCUGGACAUUAACUGACGCUGAGGCGCGAAAGCGUGGGGAGCAAACAGGAUUAGAUACCCUCGUAGA
rnacentral:rRNA from 1 species